rnacentral:rRNA from 1 species
AGCGUACACGGUGGAUGCCCUGGCAGUCAGAGGCGAUGAAGGACGUGCUAAUCUGCGAUAAGCGUCGGUAAGGUGAUAUGAACCGUUAUAACCGGCGAUUUCCGAAUGGGGAAACCCAGUGUGAUUCGUCACACUAUCAUUAACUGAAUCCAUAGGUUAAUGAGGCGAACCGGGGGAACUGAAACAUCUAAGUACCCCGAGGAAAAGAAAUCAACCGAGAUUCCCCCAGUAGCGGCGAGCGAACGGGGAGGAGCCCAGAGCCUGAAUCAGUGUGUGUGUUAGUGGAAGCGUCUGGAAAGGCGCGCGAUACAGGGUGACAGCCCCGUACACAAAAAUGCACAUGCUGUGAGCUCGAUGAGUAGGGCGGGACACGUGGUAUCCUGUCUGAAUAUGGGGGGACCAUCCUCCAAGGCUAAAUACUCCUGACUGACCGAUAGUGAACCAGUACCGUGAGGGAAAGGCGAAAAGAACCCCGGCGAGGGGAGUGAAAAAGAACCUGAAACCGUGUACGUACAAGCAGUGGGAGCACGCUUCGGCGUGUGACUGCGUACCUUUUGUAUAAUGGGUCAGCGACUUAUAUUCUGUAGCAAGGUUAACCGAAUAGGGGAGCCGAAGGGAAACCGAGUCUUAACUGGGCGUUAAGUUGCAGGGUAUAGACCCGAAACCCGGUGAUCUAGCCAUGGGCAGGUUGAAGGUUGGGUAACACUAACUGGAGGACCGAACCGACUAAUGUUGAAAAAUUAGCGGAUGACUUGUGGCUGGGGGUGAAAGGCCAAUCAAACCGGGAGAUAGCUGGUUCUCCCCGAAAGCUAUUUAGGUAGCGCCUCGUGAAUUCAUCUCCGGGGGUAGAGCACUGUUUCGGCAAGGGGGUCAUCCCGACUUACCAACCCGAUGCAAACUGCGAAUACCGGAGAAUGUUAUCACGGGAGACACACGGCGGGUGCUAACGUCCGUCGUGAAGAGGGAAACAACCCAGACCGCCAGCUAAGGUCCCAAAGUCAUGGUUAAGUGGGAAACGAUGUGGGAAGGCCCAGACAGCCAGGAUGUUGGCUUAGAAGCAGCCAUCAUUUAAAGAAAGCGUAAUAGCUCACUGGUCGAGUCGGCCUGCGCGGAAGAUGUAACGGGGCUAAACCAUGCACCGAAGCUGCGGCAGCGACACUAUGUGUUGUUGGGUAGGGGAGCGUUCUGUAAGCCUGCGAAGGUGUACUGUGAGGUAUGCUGGAGGUAUCAGAAGUGCGAAUGCUGACAUAAGUAACGAUAAAGCGGGUGAAAAGCCCGCUCGCCGGAAGACCAAGGGUUCCUGUCCAACGUUAAUCGGGGCAGGGUGAGUCGACCCCUAAGGCGAGGCCGAAAGGCGUAGUCGAUGGGAAACAGGUUAAUAUUCCUGUACUUGGUGUUACUGCGAAGGGGGGACGGAGAAGGCUAUGUUGGCCGGGCGACGGUUGUCCCGGUUUAAGCGUGUAGGCUGGUUUUCCAGGCAAAUCCGGAAAAUCAAGGCUGAGGCGUGAUGACGAGGCACUACGGUGCUGAAGCAACAAAUGCCCUGCUUCCAGGAAAAGCCUCUAAGCAUCAGGUAACAUCAAAUCGUACCCCAAACCGACACAGGUGGUCAGGUAGAGAAUACCAAGGCGCUUGAGAGAACUCGGGUGAAGGAACUAGGCAAAAUGGUGCCGUAACUUCGGGAGAAGGCACGCUGAUAUGUAGGUGAAGCGACUUGCUCGUGGAGCUGAAAUCAGUCGAAGAUACCAGCUGGCUGCAACUGUUUAUUAAAAACACAGCACUGUGCAAACACGAAAGUGGACGUAUACGGUGUGACGCCUGCCCGGUGCCGGAAGGUUAAUUGAUGGGGUUAGCGGUAACGCGAAGCUCUUGAUCGAAGCCCCGGUAAACGGCGGCCGUAACUAUAACGGUCCUAAGGUAGCGAAAUUCCUUGUCGGGUAAGUUCCGACCUGCACGAAUGGCGUAAUGAUGGCCAGGCUGUCUCCACCCGAGACUCAGUGAAAUUGAACUCGCUGUGAAGAUGCAGUGUACCCGCGGCAAGACGGAAAGACCCCGUGAACCUUUACUAUAGCUUGACACUGAACAUUGAGCCUUGAUGUGUAGGAUAGGUGGGAGGCUUUGAAGUGUGGACGCCAGUCUGCAUGGAGCCGACCUUGAAAUACCACCCUUUAAUGUUUGAUGUUCUAACGUUGGCCCCUGAUCGGGGUUGCGGACAGUGUCUGGUGGGUAGUUUGACUGGGGCGGUCUCCUCCUAAAGAGUAACGGAGGAGCACGAAGGUUGGCUAAUCCUGGUCGGACAUCAGGAGGUUAGUGCAAUGGCAUAAGCCAGCUUGACUGCGAGCGUGACGGCGCGAGCAGGUGCGAAAGCAGGUCAUAGUGAUCCGGUGGUUCUGAAUGGAAGGGCCAUCGCUCAACGGAUAAAAGGUACUCCGGGGAUAACAGGCUGAUACCGCCCAAGAGUUCAUAUCGACGGCGGUGUUUGGCACCUCGAUGUCGGCUCAUCACAUCCUGGGGCUGAAGUAGGUCCCAAGGGUAUGGCUGUUCGCCAUUUAAAGUGGUACGCGAGCUGGGUUUAGAACGUCGUGAGACAGUUCGGUCCCUAUCUGCCGUGGGCGCUGGAGAACUGAGGGGGGCUGCUCCUAGUACGAGAGGACCGGAGUGGACGCAUCACUGGUGUUCGGGUUGUCAUGCCAAUGGCACUGCCCGGUAGCUAAAUGCGGAAGAGAUAAGUGCUGAAAGCAUCUAAGCACGAAACUUGCCCCGAGAUGAGUUCUCCCUGACUCCUUGA